AACGCACAUUGCGCCCGCCAGUAUUCUGGCGGGCAUGCCUGUUCGAGCGUCAUUUCAACCAUCAAGCCCCCGGCUUGUGUUGGGGACCUGCGGCUGCCCGCAGGCCCUGAAAUCCAGUGGCGGGCUCGCUGUCGCACCGAGCGUAGUAGCAUACUUCUCGCUCCGGGAGCGCGGCGGGCGCCUGCCGUAAAACCCCCUACAUACCAAAGGUUGACCUCGGAUCAGGUAGGAAUACCCGCUGAACUUAA
rnacentral:misc_RNA from 1 species